GAUGAACGCUGGCGGCGUGCCUAAUACAUGCAAGUCGAGCGAACAGACGAGGAUCUUGCUCCUCUGCCGUUAGCGGCGGACGGGUGAGUAACACGUGGCUAACCUACCUAUAAGACUGGGAUACCUUCGGGAAACCGGAGCUAAUACCGGAUAAUAUAUUGAACCGCAUGGUUCAAUAGUGAAAGCCGGUUUUGCUGUCACUUAUAGAUGUUUCCGCGCCGCAUUAGCUAGUUGGUAAGGUAACGGCUUACCAAGGCUACGAUGCGUAGCCGACCUGAGAGGGUGAUCGGCCACACUGGAACUGAGACACGGUCCAGACUCCUACGGGAGGCAGCAGUGGGGAAUCUUCCGCAAUGGGCGAAAGCCUGACGGAGCAACGCCGCGUGAGUGAUGAAGGUCUUCGGAUCGUAAAACUCUGUUAGUAGGGAAGAACAAAUGUGUGAGUAACUAUGCACGUCUUGACGGUACCUAAUCAGAAAGCCACGGCUAACUACGUG
rnacentral:rRNA from 1 species